rnacentral:tRNA from 1 species
UCUCCCGAAGCUCAACAGGCUGAGCAGGCGACUGUUAACCGCAAGGCACCUGGUUCGAGUCCAGGCGGGAGAG